rnacentral:ncRNA from 1 species
AAAAAUUCUAUGAAAAGAAGAGUACUUAUUUAUAAUUAUCUACCAGCGAGUAAGAAUAGAGUGGAAGUCUUACAAGAUAUAAAAUAAGGAAGAGGAACUUGGAGAAGCUACCUGAGCAUUUAUAUGUAAGGGUGUGACGUUAACUGCGUUAAAGUUUUGAGUGAACUAGAAUUUUCUAGUUAAAUUGAGUGGUACCGCGGAAAUAUUCCGUCUCUUUG